rnacentral:rRNA from 1 species
UCAUCAUGCCCCUUAUGACCUGGGCUACACACGUGCUACAAUGGGCGGUACAAAGGGUCGCGAACCCGCGAGGGGGAGCCAAUCCCAAAAAGCCGCUACUCAGUUCGGAUUGCAGGCUGCAACUCGCCUGCAUGAAGCCGGAAUCGCUAGUAAUCGCGGAUCAGCAUGCCGCGGUGAAUACGUUCCCGGGCCUU